rnacentral:rRNA from 1 species
AACGAACGCUGGCGGCAGGCCUAACACAUGCAAGUCGAGCGAGGACUUCGGUCCUAGCGGCGGACGGGGGUGUAACGCGUGGGAACGUGCCCUUUGCUUCGGAAUAGCCCUGGGAAACUGGGAGUAAUACCGGAUGAGCCCUUUGGGGGAAAGAUUUAUCGGCGAAGGAUCGGCCCGCGUUGGAUUAGGUAGUUGGUGGGGUAAUGGCCUACUAAGCCGACGAUUCAUAGCUGGGUUGAGAGGAUGAUCAGCCACACUGGGACUGAGACACGGCCCAGACUCCUACGGGAGGCAGCAGUGGGGAAUCUUAGACAAUGGGGGAAACCCUGAUCGAGCCAUGCCGCGUGAGCGAUGAAGUCCGUAGGGAUGUAAAGCGCUUUCAGCUGGGAAGAUAAUGACGGUACCAGCAGAAGAAGCCCCGGCUAACUCCGUG